CUCUUUUUUAUUCCAUCAAAACACGAUCCAUCAAGCAAAUCCAACAUUCGUUUAUUCAUCACCGAGUCACCACCGAUGCCAUUACCCCCAUUGCUCGAUGCCAUCACCGUCGCCAACAAGUGCUUCGUCGUGCCGCGUGAGACUUCCCAUCUGUUUCACCACUGACGCGCCUGCACUUUGCCGCCGAAUCAUCAAUCAACCGGUUAGUAUUUGGGUUUGAUUUUUCGAAUUGAACCACAAUCAGUUUAUUUUUCAUUACUUUUAUGUUGAAGCAUGUCUUUUUCUUUCUGGGUUUGAAUUUUUUUUUUUUUUUGGCUGCUGUUGUUGUGGGUAGCUAUUAAUUUCGUCAGUACUUUUUAGUUGGCUUCAUGAGUUGUUUUUUUAUUUUUACUUACAAUUAAAUCUUGUUUAAAUCUGAGCAAAUAGACUAAUUUUGCUUUUGAGAAAAUUAAUUAAAUAGUUAAACAAGUAAUUAAAAAAUUAAUUAGUUGAUGCGAUUAUACGGAGAAGAGUGAAGGGAGUAGAGAUGGAGAACAGGGAAUUGGAGGGGAUUUGUAUGUAUAGUUGGAUGGUAGGAUUUGGAACGGUGUCGUCUACCUGUACAAAUCUAAGAUAUUCCAUGAUGUUUAGGAAUCAAAAUUUAAUCUAAACUUGCAUAUGAGUGUGGAAAUUUUACUGCAAAGUACUGAUUAACGUUCUCAUGUUUUGAAUUGAUAGAUCACUUAGACUUUUAGUUUUCUAGCAUUUUGGACUAUGGUAUUCUCAUAUGCUUGUCUCGUUGACAUUAUUCCCAGGUUUUUUUGGUUUUGGACUUGCAUAGAGGCUUAUUAUAUGCUUUUUGGUUUUGAAUUUGCACAAAGGCUUUCUCAUAGCUUAUUGGUUUUGGAUUUGCACAAAAGCUUUUCUCAUAGCUUUUUUUUUUUUUUUUGAUAAGAGAGUGAAUCUUUCAUUCAAAAUAGGAAAGUACAUCAGGAGGAAAGUUGUCCUUCCAUGUGACAGAUUCGGAGCUUCUCAAAGCUCUUUCAGCAAGAGAUUGAGCACAACUGUUACAACAUCUUGAUACAUGUUGAAUUGUUAUCGGUUGGAACUUUUCCAUGUAGCUUUGAAUGUCUGAAAUAGCCCACAAAAUCUCCUUCCUGCUACUGGUUAUAUUGUUGGCUAAGUUGACCACUUCCAUACAAUCUGUUUCAAUAAUCACUGCCGAUAAUCCUGCUUCUAUUGCCAUUUCCAUCCCCCGUUUUACAGCCUCAGCUUCUGCUGCUGAAACAUUCCCUUGGGGCUUUGUGUUUUUUACUGCUACUGUCGCUACAACUUGGCCUUGUGAAUUUCUAAUAACAACCCUGAUUCCUGUAAGCUGUGCCCCUGCCUGAACAGCUGCAUCCACAUUGACCUUGUAAUACCCGAUAGGUGGAGGACACCAUUGUUUUUGCUUGCUAACACCAUCUCUUCUGUUUAUCUGCUCCGUUUCAUGCACUCUUUGAUAAGCCUCUAUAGUAGCUUUUGCCUUUGCAAUUAAUGUUACCGGCUUAAUUUUCUGCCUUCGAAUAUAAACUUGUUCCUAGCAUGCCAUAUUUCCUUCCAGACCGUUACCACAAACUCCACCUCUCUCUUGGGCAUCUAUCUCAACAGGCUCAGUAUAAGGCUUAGAAUAUCUUCUCUCACCAUUCCCUGCAAUUCAGAAUCUCCAUAAUUGUAUUUCCAGACCUUCCUAGCCACCUUACACUCCAUAAGUGCAUGAAAGACAUCCUCUACUCCUGUUUUACGGAUUUGGCAUGUUGGCUCCUGUUGAACUUGUUGGUACUUCAGCAUACUUGAGCUUGAGAGCUAAUUGGUAACCACUUCGUACUGUGUAUAUUCCUUUUUUGUCAUAGUGCCAUAACCAUUCAUCAUUCUUAGGCCAUCUUGGUAGGGGAAUUCUCUUAAUCAUCUCUGAAUCCUCUUUUGCUAAGUGCUUCUCAAUCAAACUAUUCUUCCAUUGGUGAUCUGCGCCUAUUAAGUCUACAACUUUGGUAUUUGCUGGUACAGAUGGAGCAAAAAUUGGCCUAAAAGUAGUCGGCCUUGGUAUCCGGUUGCUGGCCAUAACACAAAUUUUAUCUCCUCUUCCAACUCUCCAUCUUAUCCCCUGCUGCAGAAUUUCUCUACCUCACAAAAUGCUUCUCCAAAUAAAGGAUGGAUUAGAACCAACUUUGGCUUCCAUAAAAUCAGUUUGUCUGUAAUAUCUAGCUUUCAGCACUUUGGCCACUAGUGAAUCAGGGUAUUGUAAUAAUCUCCAGCCUUGCUUUGCAACGAAUGCCUGGUUGAAGCUUGAGAGAUCUUUAAAACCUAUCCCCUCUCUGAUUUUAGCCUUACUAAUCUUCUCCCAUUUUGCCCAGUGAAUACCUUUCUUGUCAUUUGUUGAGCCCCACCAGAAUCUCGCAAUUGCUCUCUGAAUGUCAUUGCAAAUAGCCAAAGGUAUUUUGAAGACACUCAUGGCAUAUGCAGGGACUGCCUGAGCUACAGCCUUGAUCAAAACCUCUUUUCCACCACUGGAGAAGAAUUUAUGCUGCCAAUUCGAUAAUUUGCUCAACAGUUUGAGCUUAAUAUCAUUGAAAAAGCUGGUCCUCUUUCUUCCCACCAUUGAAGGCAGUCCCAAGUACUUCUCAUGUCUUGAGACCACAUUCAGCUGAAAAAUGUCCUUUAUUGCUGCUAUUUGUCCCUGUGGGAUUUUACCGCUGAAAAACAUUAAUGACUUGUCAUAAUUGAAGAGCUGGCUAGAGGCCGAAGUAUAGUACUCGAAAAUUGCUUUCUCAUAGCUUUUUGGUUUUGGAUUUGCACAAAGGCUUUUCUCAUAGCUCUUUGGCUUUGGACUUGUACAGAGGCUUAUAUGCUUUUCUCAUUGACAUUUAGAUCCAAUUUCUAAUUCUUUUUGGAUUUACAGUGUUCUGAAAAUCAUACCUUUUCCCACAAUAUUGAUGCUGCAAAUCAAUCUGAAAGUGCAUGCUUAAGUAAUUAACAAUAGCUUUUUUUUUUAAUAUCAUGAAAUUAUUUUAAUAUCAAUACUCAGUGUGAAAAUGCAUGCUUGAGUAAUUGAAAAAAAUAUGUUUUUCUUUUUAUUUGUUGUUUUAGAUAUGGACAUGAGAAUAGAAAUUUUUUUCGUCAAAUGGCAAACGAAAUUAAGGUUCAUGUUCAUUGUGAUGUUUUUUCUCCAUGUUUACUUUAUCUGCAUUAAGUGAUGCAGAUAGUUGGCAAUAUGGUUCAAGCUGUAGCAACUGUGUAAUGAUCAUCCGUGUUAUUGAUCCAAAUAUAUUCAUAAUGAUGUAGUAAGGGAUUUACUUUUGUUUAUGACAUUGCAAACUUGAUCAAACUUGUUAUUGAUCCAAAUAUAUUCAUAAUGAUCCAAAUAUAUUCAUAAAGGUCCAGCAUCAUCAGCUCUUUCUUUUCAACCCACUCAUGUUGCCAACCCCCUACCGGAUCGGCGGAAACCGAAACCAACCUACACCGGCUACUUUAACUCAACUUUUUGGUCAAAUCACAGCUAUUUGAGACAAACCACCACCAGCAUCACACUCACCACCAUCAAAUCUUCCAGAUCCACUUAUCCUAGGCCAAUUUUUCAACCACCGUCGCCGGCAGCACCAACUUUUGCCUAUUUAUAAUUUUGCCCCUUUACUUUUCUAUGCUUAUACUAUUGCCUAUAAUUUUCUGUUCUUUAAAAAAAACCCAAAAACCAAACAAACUUAUAAAAAAAAUAAAUUAGAAUUUACUAGGAAUUAUAAUAUUUGGGUCAAUUUAGAAUUUAGUAUUUUAUUAGGAUUUAUCUUAUUUUAUUAAGCUUACUUGAGUCAUAUUUAUAAUUCUAAUCUAAUUCGAAUUUCAGAUUAUUUCUCUUAUUUGAGAAAGAUAAGGAUUAGGUUAGCUACUAUUAUAUAUAUAGGCUUGUUAUUCUAAAUUUUUGAUAACAGACACAAGUUUCUCAUUAAUAAUAUUCAGCUUUUUCUCAAUUGAAACGUCUUCUCUUUGGUGAGAGUCUAUUUCUUAAGUUUUCAAGACGUAUGCUAGAACGAAAUCUUGUAUCGCUUCCGCCUUGCGUUAAAGCAUCAUCUAAUCAUAGGGUCUUGUUAUAGUUGUUUGCAUUGGAAGGCUCAUCUAUCACCAGCAAAUCUAUUUAUCCGGCAACAUUGCCACCAUUACAUUGAUCGGAGAAUUUUGAAUACGUUGAUAGUUUUUGUUUUUCUGUUCACUCAUUUCUAUUUCUUAGUGAUGAUACCGUCAUUGUUGUCAUUGAUGGUGCAAUAAUUUUUAGCAAUAUUAUUUUUUUUUCAUUUGAUUUACAAAACUUAAAUAUUAAAUAUAAUACUCAAUUUUAGUCUCAUACACUUAAAAAUAACUAAUAUUCAAGUUCAUGGAUGGAUAUUGAAUAAAUCAAAUCCGGAGUAUUUUAGAUGGAUAUUAUCCAAUCUAUUUGGAUCAGAUACUUACACAUCCAACUUGAAUGGAUUUGUUUGCUCUUUCUAGCUGUUAACUCGAUUAAUAAUUCUAUUGGGUUUGGUUUUAAUACUCCUAAUAUGAUAACUCAUUCAUGACACAAUUAAUUAUAUUAAUUGACUUCUAUUUUAAUUGAUAGAUAUGUGUUGAAUUGCCAUCUCUAUUGUUAUCCAUGUGUGAUGUUAGCAAGAAAGAAGAAAGAAUAGAAAAUACUUAUUUUUAGUUUAUUUUCUAAAGAAAUAUUUAAAUUAUUUUCAAAUAGAGUAAUUGUUUAGAAUUUUUUUACCCUUCUCUCAGAUAAGUUAAUGACUAUUUAAACAAUUGGGGUGGAGUAACAAAUACCAAUUUAUUUAAGUGUGCAAUUAAAUUAUUAUUAUUUAUUUAAGGACAAAAACUCAUUGUUAAAAAAAAGAUUUUACAAGUUCAUAAACUAACAUUUUAUUAUUAUUAUUAUUAUUAUUAUUAUUAUUAUUAUUAUUAUUAGUAAAUUAACAUUUUUUUACUAUAUAAUUAAAUAAUUGAUAGUAUGUUUAAUAAAUAUUAUGUUACAAAAAAAAUUAACUACAUAGAAUAUGAAAUUAAAUUUAUUUUUGUAUUUUGUAUAUUUCAUCUACUUGAGAUAAUAAAAUCUCUUGUGUUGAAAAAAAAAAAUUAUGGGUUUUGAACUUUGCUCACAUAGGUGAGAGGAAAUUAGUUGCCAUUAUAUUAAAUUAAAAAAAAAUCAUAUUUAUACUUAUCAUUAAUUAUGGUUAGUAAAUAAUAUACAUAGUUUAACUAUAUAAUAAAGUAGUUAAUUUAUUAAUUUAAAUAGAUAUUAAUAAAUGUAAGAAUAAGUCAUUUAAUUGAAAACCUAGUGUAAUAGAGUUUAAAAAAAGAGAGAAUAUUAUGGAUUUAUAUGUCAUAAUUUUUAAUUUUUUAUUUUUUAUUAUUUUACAUGAACAAUAAGGGUCUUUGAUGUUAAUAACCCAAUAAUCACAUCUCAGCCACUAUGCAAUUCUUACGUUAAAUCCAACGGUAGAUUUUAAAAAGAUAAAAAAUGGGGUACCAAACCCCAUACCAGCAUAUGUGGAAUACAUGUCAAAGCCAAAUUGGAAACUUUAACAUGAUGGUAAUGCGGUUACUUUAUAAUUGAAAGUUGAGUAAAAUAUACUGGUUUUGUCUGGAAUGCGCUUGGUGACCGCGAUCACCUGACUAAAAUUUCUCAGGAAAAUAAUUGUUAAUUGUCUAAUUUGUCUAUAUAUUGUUAAUAAAAUUAUAAAUAUACCCUCAUUGCCCAAUUCCUCUAUUUAAAUUUUUAUCAAAUUCUCUCUUCAAGCCAAAUAAAUUUAAUCCAUUAUCAAUUUUUAUGUCUAUUGGAUAUGUUAUUUAAUACAAUUAAGAUAAGAUUUUUGUAAUUAUUAUUGUAACCAUCCUUUUUUUAUUUUGUUGAUUAUACAAGUUUAAAUGAUUAACAUGUAGAGAAUUAUUAUUCUUAUGGCAUUAAUAAAUAAUUUUAUUUAUUUUCAUUUUUGAGUAAUUGAUUAAAUUUAUUUGGCUUGAAGAGGGAAUUUGAUAAAAAAUUAAAUAGAGGAAUUGGGUAAUGAGAGUAUAUUUAUAAUUUUAUUAACAAUAUAUGGAUAAAUUGGACAAUUAACAAUUAUUUUUUUAUGUGCUAGAAGGGUAUAACGGUAAUUAUAUAUUAAAAUUAUUAUUUCUGUUAAAAGUAACUGUUUCCAUUAAUAAAUGGGGGUGUAAAUGUCUAUUUUGAAAUAUUAGGAGUUUUUAUUCCUUUAUCUAAAUAUUGAGGAUGUGUUUGUCCUUUUUCCUUUUAUAUUUUGGGCGGAUUGCUAACUUGCUAGUGAUAAUGUCAGCAUGACCUAUCAAUUUUACCUAUUUACGGAAUCUACCUUUUAUGACUUGUUUAAGCUAUUGUUUUUUUUCCCUCCUUUUUUUAAAGUUAAGGCCAACUUCUACUAUGUUAAAAUUUAGUUGUGGUUGAAUUUAUGCAAAAUAUAAUAAGAAUUAAGGCUGUUAUAUAAGUGUAAAUUUUGAAGGUAAAUCCUCUUUAUUUAUAAUGUUUUGAUUUUUAUGUCAUUGAAUUUGUUCUAUAAAUUGAAUUUUUAGACCAAUGAAAUACAAUUAUUCCCUCCCAUUCGUCUUUUUUCCAAAACUGCAUCCAUCAUAAAGAACAAUAUAACUUCACGGCAUCAAAAUCCUUAUUAAAUGUAAAAAUUAGAUCCUAAUAGGAAUUUAUUGGUGUGAUUCAUUUUAGAGGUGGACAUGGGUUGGUUUGGAUUGAGUUUAAAUCAACCCAAUCCAUAAUCAUAAAAAUUUGGAUCCAACCUAAACCAACUCAAAUAUUUUUAACUCAAUCAAAACCAAAUUAUUUAGGCUUGCUUUGAAUUUUAUAAUCAAAAUUUUUUUAUUUUGAUAAAUUUAAUUAUACAAAAUUAUAAUAAUUACUAAUUAUUAUUAAUUAUUAAAUUAAUAUUAAAAUAUAAAAAAAAUAUUGUGGAUAAAAAAUUAAAAGAAAGAAUUAAAUUAAACUCCAAUAAUAAACUUCCACGACAUGACAUAAACAAGCAAAUUAAAAGAAAUAAAAGAAAAUUCGAUGAUCAUUUCCAUCUACAGUACUUUAAUCAAAAGAUUCCAUGAUUAAUUGAAUUCACUCCUUCACCAAUAAAUAAAUAACCAAAAAAGAAAAAUUAUGAUGUUUGAUCCAAACUCUGUUGUUAUAUUUGAUAAUCAUAAGAAUAACAUCAAUUCCAAGCCAUCGCCUCUGUUAUUAUAUUUGAUCCAAACUCUACAUUAAAUAAAAAUAAAUUAAUUAAAAAAAGACUAGUGAUAAACAAAUAUAUAAAUUUUUUUAACUUGUUAUGAUAAACAAUUACUUGACAUCAUCGCUUCAUAAAACUCAAGCUCCUCCAUUGUUGGUUCAUCUUGUAAUGGGACAAAAAUGUUACGUAACCAAUUUUGUGAGCAUAUCAAAGCUUCCACCAUCUUCGGACUUAAAGAACCACGAAAUGAAUCAAUGAUGCGUCCUCCAAUACUAAACACAGAUUCUAAAGCUAUUGUAGAUAUUGAAAUUGCAAACACAUCCUUUGUAAUAUGUGAAAGAACUCAAUAUUUUAUUGAGUUCAUUUUCCACCAUGCCAAAAUCUCAAAGUCAUCAUCAUCAACAUGUUCACAUGGCUCCAACAAAUACCUCUCCACUUCAUUUUUUUAUCUCAACACAAUCAUCUUUUCCUAUUCUUUGUUUGAACUUUGCAACACUUGAAAGUUUAGAAAACCAAAACUUAUGACGACUAAUUCACCUUAAAUUCUAAAGGAAAAAAGGUUGUUUAGGAACCAAAACUCAAAACUUGUAAAAGCAAUUUUAGCAAAGAAAAUCAUAAUAAAAAAAUGAAAGAAAGAAAAAAAAAAACAAGUGCCAGAAUCUAAGUAAUUAAAUUUGAUAAUUCCAAGCAUACCCAUUAAGCAGAAUCUAAGUAAUUGAAAAUAUGUAAAACAAAUUUUGGGCCACCAGAAUAGAAUCCAAGCAUUAGAGGUCCACCACAACAGUAACAGAAGAAAAAAAAAACUGAAGCAGAACCUCACCUUCAAUCAUUAGGAAGAUUGCAAUCGAAGUGGGGGCUUUAGGAAUUGAUGACAAUGAGAGAUCCACAACGUCACUUUUGUUGACAGACAUUGUAGAAGAUGGAGAGAGAUCAAAGAGAUUCAAAGGUUUGUUUAUUUUGUUUAAUUCAUUUUGUUUAGUUUUGGAAAUUUAUUCUUGACUCAUGGGUAAUUCAUACCCAAACUAUUAUGAAAGGAUUAUAUACGUAAAAAUUUAAAUUUAACCCAUUUUCAUGAUUUACUCAACCCAAAUCAUUUUAUUUGGUUUAAGUUUGGGUAAACCCAUGGAUUGUAGGUUAUGCCCACCCCUAAAUUUAUUUAUUGCCCCCAAGGAACACAAAGUUGGUACCCAACACUUGCUCUUUGAAAUCCAAAUUUCGAGCUUACCUUCAAUCACACCUUUGCCACAUCAAUGGUAGCAUUCUUAGCUUAGCAGGCUUUGCUCAUCAUUUUUAUUUCUUCAAUUAGCUGCUUUUUUUUUUUACUCGUUUUCACAAUUAC
rnacentral:lncRNA from 1 species